rnacentral:rRNA from 1 species
AACGCUGGCGGCGUGCCUAAUACAUGCAAGUCGAGCGCACAGAGGGGAGCUUGCUCCCUGAGGUGAGCGGCGGAUGGGUGAGUAACACGUGGGCAACCUGCCUGUCAGACUGGGAUAACUGUGGGAAACCGCAGCUAAUACCGGAUAAUCCUCUGCACCGCAUGGUGCAGGGUUGAAAGAUGGUUUCGGCCAUCACUGACAGAUGGGCCCGCGGUGCAUUAGUUAGUUGGCGGGGUAACGGCCCACCAAGACCGCGAUGCAUAGCCGACCUGAGAGGGUGAUCGGCCACAUUGGGACUGAGACACGGCCCAAACUCCUACGGGAGGCAGCAGUAGGGAAUCUUCCACAAUGGACGAAAGUCUGAUGGAGCAACGCCGCGUGAGCGAAGAAGGUUUUCGGAUCGUAAAGCUCUGUUGCUGGAGAAGAACGAGUGCUAGAGGAAAUGCUAGUGCUGUGACGGUAUCCAGCCAGAAAGCCACGGCUAACUACGUGCCAGCAGCCGCGGUAAUACGUAGGUGGCAAGCGUUGUCCGGAAUUAUUGGGCGUAAAGCGCGCGCAGGCGGCUUCUUAAGUCUGAUGUGAAAUCUUGCGGCUCAACCGCAAACGGUCAUUGGAAACUGGGAAGCUUGAGUGCAGAAGAGGAGAGUAGAAUUCCACGUGUAGCGGUGAAAUGCGUAGAGAUGUGGAGGAAUACCAGUGGCGAAGGCGGCUCUCUGGUCUGUAACUGACGCUGAGGCGCGAAAGCGUGGGGAGCAAACAGGAUUAGAUACCCUGGUAGUCCACGCCGUAAACGAUGAAUGCUAGGUGUUAGGGGGUCCAACCCUUAGUGCUGAAGUUAACACAUUAAGCAUUCCGCCUGGGGAGUACGACCGCAAGGUUGAAACUCAAAGGAAUUGACGGGGGCCCGCACAAGCAGUGGAGCAUGUGGUUUAAUUCGAAGCAACGCGAAGAACCUUACCAGGUCUUGACAUCCUCUGACAAGCCUAGAGAUAGGCCGUUCCCCUUCGGGGGACAGAGUGACAGGUGGUGCAUGGUUGUCGUCAGCUCGUGUCGUGAGAUGUUGGGUUAAGUCCCGCAACGAGCGCAACCCUUGAUCUUAGUUGCCAGCAUUUAGUUGGGCACUCUAAGGUGACUGCCGGUGACAAACCGGAGGAAGGUGGGGAUGACGUCAAAUCAUCAUGCCCCUUAUGAUCUGGGCUACACACGUGCUACAAUGGGUGGUACAAAGGGCAGCGAAACCGCGAGGUCGAGCUAAUCCCAUAAAGCCACCCCCAGUUCGGAUUGCAGGCUGCAACUCGCCUGCAUGAAGCCGGAAUUGCUAGUAAUCGCGGAUCAGCAUGCCGCGGUGAAUCCGUUCCCGGGCCUUGUACACACCGCCCGUCACACCACGAGAGUUUGUAACAC